GAGUUUGAUCCUGGCUCAGGACGAACGCUGGCGGCGCGCCUAACACAUGCAAGUCGAACGAGCGAGAGAGAGCUUGCUUUCUCAAGCGAGUGGCGAACGGGUGAGUAACGCGUGAGGAACCUGCCUCAAAGAGGGGGACAACAGUUGGAAACGACUGCUAAUACCGCAUAAGCCCACAGCUCGGCAUCGAGCAGAGGGAAAAGGAGCAAUCCGCUUUGAGAUGGCCUCGCGUCCGAUUAGCUAGUUGGUGAGGUAAUGGCCCACCAAGGCGACGAUCGGUAGCCGGACUGAGAGGUUGAACGGCCACAUUGGGACUGAGACACGGCCCAGACUCCUACGGGAGGCAGCAGUGGGGAAUAUUGCACAAUGGGGGAAACCCUGAUGCAGCGACGCCGCGUGGAGGAAGAAGGUCUUCGGAUUGUAAACUCCUGUUGUUGAGGAAGAUAAUGACGGUACUCAACAAGGAAGUGACGGCUAACUACGUGCCAGCAGCCGCGGUAAAACGUAGGUCACAAGCGUUGUCCGGAAUUACUGGGUGUAAAGGGAGCGCAGGCGGGAAGACAAGUUGGAAGUGAAAUCUAUGGGCUCAACCCAUAAACUGCUUUCAAAACUGUUUUUCUUGAGUAGUGCAGAGGUAGGCGGAAUUCCCGGUGUAGCGGUGGAAUGCGUAGAUAUCGGGAGGAACACCAGUGGCGAAGGCGGCCUACUGGGCACCAACUGACGCUGAGGCUCGAAAGUGUGGGUAGCAAACAGGAUUAGAUACCCUGGUAGUCCACACCGUAAACGAUGAUUACUAGGUGUUGGAGGAUUGACCCCUUCAGUGCCGCAGUUAACACAAUAAGUAAUCCACCUGGGGAGUACGACCGCAAGGUUGAAACUCAAAGGAAUUGACGGGGGCCCGCACAAGCAGUGGAGUAUGUGGUUUAAUUCGACGCAACGCGAAGAACCUUACCAAGUCUUGACAUCCUGCGACGCACAUAGAAAUAUGUGUUUCCUUCGGGACGCAGAGACAGGUGGUGCAUGGUUGUCGUCAGCUCGUGUCGUGAGAUGUUGGGUUAAGUCCCGCAACGAGCGCAACCCUUACUGUCAGUUACUACGCAAGAGGACUCUGGCAGGACUGCCGUUGACAAAACGGAGGAAGGUGGGGAUGACGUCAAAUCAUCAUGCCCUUUAUGACUUGGGCUACACACGUACUACAAUGGCGUUAAACAAAGAGAAGCAAGACCGCGAGGUGGAGCAAAACUCAGAAACAACGUCCCAGUUCGGACUGCAGGCUGCAACUCGCCUGCACGAAGUCGGAAUUGCUAGUAAUCGUGGAUCAGCAUGCCACGGUGAAUACGUUCCCGGGCCUUGACACACCGCCCGUC
rnacentral:rRNA from 1 species